UUAUUGAAACUUCGGUCGAUUUAAUUUAAUUCUAGUGGCGGACGGGUGAGUAACGCGUGGGUAACCUGCCUUAUACAGGGGGAUAACAGUCAGAAAUGGCUGCUAAUACCGCAUAAGCGCACAGAGCUGCAUGGCUCAGUGUGAAAAACUCCGGUGGUAUAAGAUGGACCCGCGUUGGAUUAGCUGGUUGGUGGGGUAACGGCCCACCAAGGCGACGAUCCAUAGCCGGCCUGAGAGGGUGAACGGCCACAUUGGGACUGAGACACGGCCCAGACUCCUACGGGAGGCAGCAGUGGGGAAUAUUGCACAAUGGGGGAAACCCUGAUGCAGCGACGCCGCGUGAAGGAAGAAGUAUCUCGGUAUGUAAACUUCUAUCAGCAGGGAAGAUAGUGACGGUACCUGACUAAGAAGCCCCGGCUAACUACGUGCCAGCAGCCGCGGUAAUACGUAGGGGGCAAGCGUUAUCCGGAUUUACUGGGUGUAAAGGGAGCGUAGACGGUGUGGCAAGUCUGAUGUGAAAGGCAUGGGCUCAACCUGUGGACUGCAUUGGAAACUGUCAUACUUGAGUGCCGGAGGGGUAAGCGGAAUUCCUAGUGUAGCGGUGAAAUGCGUAGAUAUUAGGAGGAACACCAGUGGCG
rnacentral:rRNA from 1 species